rnacentral:rRNA from 1 species
GACGAACGCUGGCGGCGUGCUUAACACAUGCAAGUCGAACGGAAAGGCCCUGCUUUUGUGGGGUGCUCGAGUGGCGAACGGGUGAGUAACACGUGAGUAACCUGCCCUUGACUUUGGGAUAACUUCAGGAAACUGGGGCUAAUACCGGAUAGGAGCUCCUGCUGCAUGGUGGGGGUUGGAAAGUUUCGGCGGUUGGGGAUGGACUCGCGGCUUAUCAGCUUGUUGGUGGGGUAGUGGCUUACCAAGGCUUUGACGGGUAGCCGGCCUGAGAGGGUGACCGGCCACAUUGGGACUGGGGAGAGGCCCCGGAUCCUACGGGAGGCAGCAGUGGGGAAGUUUGCACAAUGGGGGGGAGCCUGAUGCAGCAACGCCGCGUGCGGGAAGACGGCCUUCGGGUUGUAAACCGCUUUCGCCUGUGGCGGAGCGUGGGUGACGGUGAUGGGUAAAGAAACACCGGGCAACUCCGUG